CGGAAGGAUAGUUCUCUGCUGGAGUUACUGGUUUUUAUGCCCCCCUGUUCAAUUUUUUGUCUGAACGUUGAAAUCUUUAUGUACACUGAAUUAAAUAGAAAGUGUUAUCUACUGGGAAGAGCUGUUAUCGCAAAACAACAGUUUUUGGAAAAAUGAAAGACUAUAUAGCGACACGUACGCAAGUUGGCAGCCCAAUGGAUAACAGACUUGACGUACCGCCUCCAACGUUACUGGGACUCGGACAUUUCGCGUUUUUAUUUGAGAUGUGUUGAUAUAAUUCUCCUUAUCACGAUUUUAACGCUUUAAGCAAACAAUAAACUAAGUAGAUUCUUUCAUGCAAUAUGCAUGACGUUAGUUUCACACUCUCGCGUUGUAGCAUAAUUUUUAAUAAUCACUUGUAGUAAAUCAUGUUUUUUACAGAACAUUAGUAAGUUAGACAUACAAUAUUGUCAUAUGCAAUAAGGAAUAACAUAUAUAAAAAUGGUUAGUUAAGGUUCGUUAUGGAACUUUAGUAGAGAAAUCUGCAUGUAUGUUUGGGGGUUGUAUAAUAUUUAACUUAUGUUAUCAGGUACGCAUUUUUCCCCUUCGCUUUGCUUGGACAACUUCCGGUGUUACGGCAUUUCUCCUUUUGCAUCUCCUGCGCACUGUGUGCUGUGCAAAGAAAUAUAGCGGUGUUCUCAUGCGUGUGUCACAGGAUGCCUGGAUCAACUUUCAAAAAAUGUAAAUCAUACAAUGUCCAAAUUUCUGUGGCUUGCAAAACCUGCAAACACUGCAGACAAAAGCAAGAAAUGAAAAAAGCAAAACAAGUUGCCAAACAAAAAAUAAAUGAGCAAUGGAAAGUUGCAAAUAAUUUCUGUAAACUUGUAAAUUCUGGGUGUACAUGUUCUGGUAGGUCAUUAUUUAAUACAUCCCAAUGCCUUGCCUUGCCUAAUACAUUCCAAUGUUGAAGUUGCCCUUUAUUGUGUCUGAAUGUUUAUAUGUGUCUCUAUACGUUAGCAUGUGUGUUUGUAACCACUGUUUGUUUUUUAAAUUAUUCCAGAAAUCUUUCUUGUCACAUACAUUACCUAUUUCACAGCAGAGGACUGCAGUGCUGCUGUACAAACCUCUUCUGCAGCAGCCAAUGUCCCUCAUCUGUCUGUCUCACAAUCACUUAAAGGUCCAAAAGACUCCAGUGCUGCUGUACAAACCUCUUCUGCAGCAGCCAAUGUCCCUCAUCUGCCUGUCUCACAAUCACUUAAAGGUCCAAAAGACUCCAGUGCUGCUGUACAAACCUCUUCUGCUGCAGCCAAUGACCCUCAUCUGCCUGUCUCACAAUCACUUAAAGGUCCAAAAGACUCCAGUGCUGCUGUACAACCUCUUCUGCAGCAGCCAAUGACCCUCAUCUGUCUGUCUCACAAUCACUUAAAGGUCCAAAAGACUCCAGUGCUGCUGUACAACCUCUUCUGCAGCAGCCAAUGACCCUCAUCUGUCUGUCUCACAAUCACUUAAAGGUAACACUUAUACUACCAACUCUCUAUCUGUCCAUCCAUAAAUUCAUACAUCCUCUCAUCGAUACAUUCUCCCUCCCAUUCUUCCAUACAUCCUCCCUAGACCUGUCUAUCUAAUCUGUCUGUCUGUCUGUCUGUCUGUCCAUUCAUCAUCCAGUCUGCAAGUUUCUGUCUUUCUAAUCUGUCAUUUUACACUUUCUUUAGGUCCAAAAGACUCCAGUGCUGCUGUACAACCUCUUCUGCAGCAGCCAAUGACCCUCAUCUGUCUGUCUCACAAUCACUUAAAGGUCCAAAAGACUCCAGUGCUGCUGUACAAACCUCUUCUGCAGCAGAAAAUGACCCUCAUCCGUCUGUCUCACAAACAAACAAAUUUCGGUACAAGAUUAAAGACUGUCCUGUGCAUUUACUCAAAGAACACUUUCCAUUUGUAAAAACCAUGGGAACGAGAAAAGCAAAAAAUGGAAUAAACAAACAAAGGUUUCGCUGGCAGCCUUGCUCUGGCUGUGGAGUAAAGUGGAAGGACACAUGGAAGCUUCAUUCGGAUGAAUAAAGUAAUGUGUUAUGAAGUUGUAGGAUGAACCCAAAUGCAGACAGAGAUGAACACUAAAGACUUUUAUUGUGACAAAACAGAAAACAAAACCCACGAGGGGGCAAAACAAUAUAAACAGGAAGACUUAAGUACACUAAACUAGACAGGACACUGGACUAAACUCUGACACUAAACUGGAUACACUUAACAAUUAACUAGACAAAACACUUGACAUAUAAA